CCUACGGGAGGCAGCAGUGGGGAAUAUUGGACAAUGGGCGGAAGCCUGAUCCAGCAAUGCCGCGUGAGUGAUGAAGGCCUUAGGGUUGUAAAGCUCUUUUACCAGGGAUGAUAAUGACAGUACCUGGAGAAUAAGCUCCGGCUAACUCCGUGCCAGCAGCCGCGGUAAUACGGAGGGAGCUAGCGUUGUUCGGAAUUACUGGGCGUAAAGCGUACGUAGGCGGUUAUUCAAGUCAGAGGUGAAAGCCUGGAGCUCAACUCCAGAACUGCCUUUGAAACUAGAUAGCUAGAAUCUUGGAGAGGUGAGUGGAAUUCCGAGUGUAGAGGUGAAAUUCGUAGAUAUUCGGAAGAACACCAGUGGCGAAGGCGACUCACUGGACAAGUAUUGACGCUGAGGUACGAAAGCGUGGGGAGCAAACAGGAUUAGAUACCCUGGUAGUCCACGCCGUAAACGAUGAUAACUAGCUGUUCGGGCUCUACGAGCUUGAGUGGCGCAGCUACGACAUUAAGUUAUUCCGUCCGUCGGGAGGUACGGUCGGCGAAGAAUUAAAACUUAACAAAUAGAAGUUAGUACGGCGUGAGACGACCGAACGGACGACGACGAGGGAGGAGG
rnacentral:rRNA from 1 species